UACGAAGGGGGCUAGCGUUGCUCGGAAUCACUGGGCGUAAAGCGCACGUAGGCGGCUUCUUAAGUCAGGGGUGAAAUCCUGGAGCUCAACUCCAGAACUGCCUUUGAUACUGAGGAGCUUGGAGUCCGGGAGAGGUGAGUGGAACUGCGAGUGUAGAGGUGAAAUUCGUAGAUAUUCGCAAGAACACCAGUGGCGAAGGCGGCUCACUGGCCCGGUACUGACGCUGAGGCACGAAAGCGUGGGGAGCAAACAGG
rnacentral:rRNA from 1 species